CACAAACAUCAGGCACUGAUGGAAACAGCCAAACACAGAAACAGAUGCACCAACAGGUGAAUGAGGCCUGUUGUAUAAAUGACUCUGAGUGCUCAGGUAGAAACGCAUGAAGAACCAGUGCAUCUAAUAUUUGGAAACUAAUCUGUGUUUGAGCGUCCUGGAUGAAACACAGAUCAUGUUGGAGAGCGAGGACGUCGUCUUUCUUCCCGGGUGUGUAACUACAGGACGUGUGCAGAAGGUUUAAUCGUCCUCCUGACAGUUAUUGAUGAACGAGUCCUUCAGGGAGGCUCCAAGAUCACUGUGGGUUUACCAGCUGCUGCUAAACUGAGAGGGAGACGAUAAAGUGAGCUCAACCUUAAACAUGUGGAGAGAACGUUUGACCAACAGUCCUGGGACGACUACAGAACAAUGGAGCAGCUCACAGGCACAACAGACUACAGUGCAAUCAAGGCACCAGUUAAACAUCCAUGUGACCGGCUUACAGCCAAUGAACAACCAGUACGGUCCCCAUUGUCCCCACCAACAUCACUGUACUGGAAAGACUGUGCUGCCGUGGUCAGAGAUGAACUGAUACUAAAAUGUAAGGCAGCUGAUGUGUGUGGCAUUAGCAGCACAAAUGCAUCAUGGCUGCAACGCUGCAGUGUGUUUAAACAUUUGAACAUUUCUGUGGCUUCAAACCAGCAGCUCCUCUGUACUCAGUCAUGUUUGUGUGUCUGUCAAAGUGAUUGUUGUCUUUAAAAAGCCUUUUGUGUUUGAGUUUUGUGAGCAGUGCUGAGCUUCUCUUUAGUCUAAGGUGAGUCGAUAUAUUUGAUUCCAUGUUUGGUGUGAUUUUCAAAGUCAGCAGCAGCAAACGCUGAACAAGCAAAGUUUGGGCCCAUCAGAGACAGCAGUGGAUCUGCUGACCUGUAGGUGUUGGAGGUGUUUGUGUGCAGCUGUGGGUGAGUCAGCUGUAUUUCACUUAUCCAUGACAGAGCGCUGUUAGCUUUGAGUUAGGAUCCACUGAGCUGUUUCAUCUGCUCUGUCACUGCCAGCAAGCAGAGCCCAGGCUUGGCUUCAUAAGCUGGAUGUGGCCUUGCUCAAGGGCACUUUAGCAGCAUGUUCCCAGCAGAGGGAUUCAAACUGGUGACCCUGGAGUAGGAAUCAUCCAGAAAAGUCACCUUAUGUCAGAAGUUUUAGUGAGACGGGGAACAACAUUACAGCUCUGAUGUCAUUGACCUGUGCAGUGAGGACAUAUUGAACUAUGAGGACACAGCUUAUAGGUUCAACACUGACCCUGGGUCAGCAUGUGCAGGCUGCCACGGUGUUGGUGUCACCACUACAGACAGCUCAGGUUCAACUAGUUCUUCUUUGAUUUGCUUCUAUAGCACAAAGUUUGACACCAGUCUGGUCCAGUUAGCAUCUGAAUCCAUAAACGUGUGAC